GUCUUCGUGGUGUAGUGGUCAGCACGCUCGACUCGUAACCGAGAGGACCGUGGUUCGAUUCCCUGCGAAGGAG
rnacentral:tRNA from 1 species